rnacentral:lncRNA from 1 species
AAGAUAAAAGUUUAGAUAGUUUAAAAAAUUCAUUAAGAAGAGAACAAGAAAAAAUAGUUAGUAGUAUUAAUAACUUCAAACAAGAUAUUAAAUAUAGUACAAGUAGAAUAGAUUAUUAUAUAUUUACUUUAGAAGAAUAAAAUGAUAAACUACGAAUAUCUAAAAUACUGGGAACAAGAAAUGGAAGAAAUAAGAUUAACAGAAAACCUUAUAAAAAUGAAUUUAAUUGAAUAUUGUAAAACAAAAGAUAUAGAAUAUUUAUAAUAUCUUAAAAAUAAUAUAGAAGACUUACAAAAACUAAGAGAAAAAGCCAAAGAAUAUUAUAGCAAAGCAUUUAAUCAACUACCAUUUAAUCACCCCUCAAAAUAUGAAU